GACAGUCCGGUGUGCCAAGCCGAGCUGAGUCUUGGCUGCACACAGACACUCUUUUCCAAUCCUUUCUUUUCCUGUUUCUAGCACUUAGGUAACUUCAUUAGUAUACAAAUACAAAUGUACUAAGUCUAGAAACAUACGUUGUAAUAUGAUUUUCACUUCUUCACUCUUUGGCACAAAUUUGCAUUUAGAAAAAAUGUGUUGGGCACUUAAUCACCAAAACACUUUAGAAAUGGCCCAAGGGCACAUUUCCCUUUCAAUCUCCCCCUUUUUGGUGAUUUAUGCCGACACAUCAAAAAGCAACUAAAAGAAGUGCAACAUCAAUGCGAUUGAGAACAAGAAUUGUUUUUGAUUCAAAUUUGGCAUAUUUGGAUCAUAUUUUGCCACCACUUGGUUUGUUUUUGAAAUCAAACUCAUUUUCCUAUCUCUAAGUCAAACACACUUGUUUAGGCAUAAAGAGAGAUAUUUCAAGAGUGAAAAUGAUCAAGAUUCAAAAACUCCCCCUUUUUCCCAUAAUCAUAGAUUCUCCCCACAAGAGACCAAAUUUUGACAAUAAGAGAAUUUUGACGAAUCAAAAGUUCUAGCUCUACUAUUUUCAAAAUUCUCAAGUGGUAGCUGAUCCAUUUGCUUUGACCUUAAUUUCUCCCCCUUUGGCAUUAAGCACCAAAACGGGAUCACUUUUGGCUCUUUAACCCCAUUGCCUCACCAAAAUUGUCAAUUACGAGCAAAAAGGCAAUAAGAGCGUAGAUAUGAACUUGGAGUGAAUACCGGAGUGCAGUGGAAGUCUUUGCAUGAUCCAAGUUCACCUUUUCCUUUCAAUUCACCUUUGAGACUACAUCAAGUAAACUCAAGCAGAAAUGUUAGUCUCAAAGGGUCAAGUUGUAGCACUUCUCCCCCUAAAAAUGUGCAUCAUUCACACAUGGACUUGUGAGGUAUGGGGAUCCCUUGCACAACUUGAGCACCAUAAAUAAACAAUAAAUCUCAUAAAUGCAUAAAGUAACUUGAUCAAAGGCAUAAAACAGAUGUAUGUUAUAAAUCAAUCCAAGUUACGCGAAUCUAAGACAUUUAGCUCACUACGCAGCCUGCAAAAGGUUUUCUCAUCUAAAGGCUUGGUAAAGAUAUCGGCUAGCUGGUUCUCGAUGCUAAUAUAGAACACUUUGAUAUCUCCCUUUUGUUGGUGGUCUCUCAAAAAGUGCUGCCGGAUGUCUAUGUGCUUAGUGCGGCUAUGUUCAACAGGAUUAUCUGCCAUGUGGAUUGCACUCUCAUUGUCACAUAGGAGUGGGACUUUGCUCAGAUUGUAGCCAAAGUCCCGGAGGGUUUGCCUCAUCCAAAGUAGUUGCGCGCAACACUAUCCUGCGGCAACAUACUCGGUCUCAGUGGUGGAUAGGGCAACGAAAGUUUGUUUCUUUGAACUCCAAGACACCAGGGACCUUCCUAGGAAUUGGCACGUCCCCGAUGUACUCUUCCUAUCAACCUUGCACCCGGCAUAAUCGGAGUCUAAAUAUCCAAUCAAGUCAAAGGUAGACCCAUUUGGAUACCAGAUCCCGAUGCAAGGUGUAGCAACUAAAUAUCUAAGAAUCCGCUUAACGGCCACAAGGUGACAUUCCCAUGGGUCGGAUUGAUAUCUAGCACACAUGCAUACGCUAAGCAUAAUAUCUGGUCUACUAGCGCAUAAAUAAAGUAAAGAACCUAUCAUAGACAGGUAUGCCUUUUGAUCAACGGACAUACCUCCUUUGUUAAGGUCGACAUGUUCGUCGGUUCCCAUUGGUGUCUUUGCGGGCUUGGCGUCCUUCAUCUCAAACCGCUUGAGCAGGUCUUGCGUGUACUUCGUUUGGGAGAUGAAGGUGUUGUCCUUGAGUUGCUUCACUUGGAACCCAAGGAAGUAGUUCAACUCGCCCAUCAUUGACAUCUCAAAUUUCUGUGUCAUCACCCUGCUAAACUCCUCACAAGACUUUUGGUUAGUAGAACCAAAUAUUAUGUCAUCGACAUAAAUUUGGCACACAAAUAGGUCACCAUCACAAGUAUUAGUGAAAAGAGUUGGAUUGGCUUUCCCAACCUUGAAAGCAUUAGCAGUUAGGAAAUCUCUAAGGCAUUCAUACCAUGCUCUUGGGGCUUGCUUAAGUCCAUAGAGCGCCUUAGAGAGCUUACACACAUGGUUGGGGUACCGUUCAUCCUCAAAGCCAGGUGGUUUCUCCACGUACACCUCCUCCUUGAUUGGCCCGUUGAGGAAAGCGCUCUUCACAUCCAUUUGAAACAACCUAAAAGAGUGGUGAGCGGCAUAGGCUAACAAAAUGUGGAUAGACUCUAGCCUAGCCACAGGAGCAAAAGUCUCCUCAAAAUCCAAACCUACGACUUGGGAAUAACCUUUUGCCACAAGUCGAGCCUUGUUUCUUGUCACCACCCCGUGCUCGUCUUGCUUGUUGCGGAACACCCACUUGGUUCCCACAACGUUUUGCUUUGGACGUGGCACCAGGCUCCAAACUUCAUUUCGUUUGAAGUUGUUGAGCUCCUCCUGCAUGGCCAACACCCAGCCCGGAUCUUGCAGGGCCUCUUCUACCCUGAAAGGCUCAAUAGAAGAGACAAACGAGUAAUGCUCACAAAAAUUAGCUAAUCGUGAGCGAGUUGUUACACCCUUGCUUAUGUCACCUAGAAUUUGAUCGAUGGGGUGAUUCCUUUGAAUUGUUGCUCGGUCUUGAGUUGGAGGGGCUGGUGGUGCUUCUUCCUCCAUAACUUGUUCUUCUUACGCUCCCCCUUGAUCACAUGCCUCUUCUUGAUGAACCUGUUCGUCUUCUUGAGUUGGGGGGUGCACCAUUGUUGAGGAGGAAGGUUGAUCUUGCUCUUGUUGUUCCUGUGGUCGCACGUCUCCAAUCGCCAUGGUGUGUAUUGCGGCCGUCGGAACAUCAUCUUCAUCGAUAUCAUCAAGAUCAACUUGCUCUCUUGGAGAGCCAUUAGUCUCAUCAAAUACAACGUCGCUAGAGACUUCAACAAAACCCGAUGAUUUGUUGAAGACUCUAUACGCCUUUGUAUUUGAGUCAUAACCUAGUAAAAACCCUUCUACAGCUUUGGGAGCAAAUUUAGAAUUUUUACCUUUCUUCACUAGAAUGUAACAUUUGCUCCCAAAUACACGAAAGUAUGAUACGUUGGGUUUGUUACCGGUAAGAAGUUCAUACGAGGUCUUCUUGAGGAGGCGAUGAAGGUAGAGCUGGUUUAUGGCGUGGCAAGCUAUGUUCACAACUUCCGAUCAAAACCGCUCAGGCGUCUUGAACUCUCCAAGCAUCGUCCUUGCCAUGUCGAUAAGUGUCCUAUUCUUCCUCUCUACCACACCAUUUUGCUGUGGUGUGUAGGGAGCGGAGAACUCGUGCUUGAUGCCUUCCUCCUCAAGGUACUCCUCCACUUGCAGAUUCUUGAGCUCGGACCCAUUGUCGCUUCUUAACUUUUUCACCUUGAGCUCAAAUUCAUUUUGUGCUCGUCUUAGAAAGCGCUUGAGGGUCCCUUGGGUUUCUGAUUUAUCCUGCAAAAAGAACACCCAAGUGAAACGGGAAAAAUCAUCAACAAUAACAAGACCAUACUUACUUCCCCCGAUGCUAAGGUAGGCGACGGGUCCGAAGAGGUCCAUAUGUAGUAGCUCCAGUGGUCUUGAUGUUGUCAUCACAUUCUUGUUGUGAUGAGUGCUCCCCACUUGUUUUCCUGCCUGACACGCUGCACAAGGUCUAUCUUUCUAGAAACACACAUUUGUUAGUCCUAACACAUGUCCUCCCUUUAGAAGUUUGUGGAGGUUCUUCAUUCCAACAUGUGCUAGAUGGCGAUGCCACAGCCAGCCCAUGCUAGUCUUAGCUAUUAAGCAUGCAUCUAGAUCAGUCUCCUCUUUCGAAAAAUCAACUAAGUAGAGUUUGUCGUCUAAUACACCCUUAAAUGCUAAUGAAUCAUCACUCCUUAUAAAGACAGAAACAUCGACAUUUGUGAACAAACAAUUGUAGCCCAUGUGGCACAAUUGACUUACAGACAGGAGAUUAUAGCCUAGCGACUCUACUAAGAAUACAUUGGAAAUAGAGUGCUCGCUUGUGAUGGCUAUUUUUCCCAAACCUUUGACCUUGCCUUGAUUCCCAUCUCCAAAUAUUAUUGUAUCUUGGGAAUCUUUGUUCUUGACGUAGGAGGUGAACAUCUUCUUCUCCCCCGUCAUGUGGUUUGUGCAUCCGCUGUCGAUAAUCCAGCUUGAGCCCCCGGAUGCAUAAACCUGCAAGACAAAUUAGGCUUGGGUUUUAGGUACCCAACUCUUGUUGGGUCCUACAAGGUUAGUCACAAUUGUCUUUGGAACCCAAAUGCAAGUCUUGUCUCCCUUGCAUUUGGCUCCCAACUUCCUAGCAACCACUUUCUUAUUUCUACAUGAGAGUACAAAGGUAGUGUUGCAAGCAUGGAAAACAGUAGCAGAUUCAUCACACAUUUUUCUAGGCACAUGAGACACAAGGUUUCUCUUAGGCCUACUUCUAUCAUGCACAAAAGUAGAACUUGAAGCAAUCAUAGCAUGUGAAUCAUAACUUCUAUUAUAAUGAGCAUUCCUAGAAAAUUUUCUAUCAUGAAUGAACGCAUGAUUCCUUUGAAUGCUACUAGUCAUAGGAGCCUUCCCUUUCUCCUUGUUGGGAAUGGGAGCCCUUUGACUUGUUAAGUUCUUGGCUUCCUUUCGAAAGCCAAGCCCAUCCUUAAUUGAGGGGUGUCUACCAACAGUGUAGGCAUCCCUAGCAAAUUUUAAUUUAUCAAAGUCACUUUUGCAAGUCUUAAGUAGAGCAUUAAGACUUGCCACUUCAUCAUUUAAUUUAGAAAUGGAAAUUAAAUGUUCAUCACAAGCAUCAACAUUAAAAUCCUUGCAUCUAUUGCAAAUUACAACAUGUUCUACACAAGAACUUGGUUUAUUUGCUACCUCUAGCUUAGCAUUUAAUCAUCAUUCAAAAUCUUUAAACUAGAGAUUGAUUCAUGGCACAUAGACAAUUCAGAGGAUAACAAUUCAUUUCUUUUAGUUUCUAAAACAAGAGACUUUUGUGCACUAACAAGUUUGUCAUGUUCUUCAUACAAAAUAUCCUCUUGCUUUUCUAAGAGUCUAUCCUUUUCAUUUAAGGCAUCAAUUAACUCAUUAAUCUUAUCUACCUUUGCUCUAUCUAAGCCCUUAAAUAAAUCGGUAUAAUCUACUUCAUCAUCACUAGAGUCAUCAUCACUUGAAGUAGUAUACUUAGGGGUUUCUCGAACGCUUACCUUUUUCUCCUUUGCCAUGAGGCAAGUAUGACGUUCGUUGGGGAAGAGAGAAGACUUGUUGAAGGCUGAGGCAGCGAGUCCUUCGUCGUUGGAGUCGGAGGAGGAGCAGUCCGAGUCCCAUUCCUUUCCGAGAUGUGCCUCGCCCUUUGCCUUCCUAUAGCUCUUUUUCUUCUCCUUCUUCCCGCUCUUUUCUUGUCCCUGGUCACUAUCAUUAUCGGGACAGUUUGCAAUAAAGUGAUCAGUCUUACUGCACUUGAAGCAGGAGCGCUUUCCCCUUGUUUUGUUCUUGUUGGGGUACUCCUUGCGUCCUUUAAGAGCUGUCUUGAAGCGCUUGAUGAUGAGAGCCAUCUCAUCUUUGUUUAGCCCAGCCGCCUCAACUUGUGCCACCUUGCUUGGUAGCGCCUCCCUGCUACUGGUUGCCUUGAGGGCAAUAGUUUGAGGCUCGUGGACGGGGAGUGGACCGUUUAGAGCGUCGUCCACAUAUCGGGCCUCCUUCACCAUCAUGCGCCCGCUCACAAUCUUUCCAAGAAUCUCCUCGGGCGUCAUCUUGGUGUACCUGGGAUUCUCACGAAUAAGGUUAACAAGAUGGGGGUCAAUUACCGUGAAUGACCUUAGCAUAAGUCGGACGACGUCGUGGUCUGUCCAUCUUGUGCUCCCAUAACUCUUAAUCUUGUUGACCAGGGUGUUGAGCCUGUUGUAUGUUUGUGUUGGCUCUUCUCCUCUGAUCAUCGCGAACCUUCCCAGCUCGCCUUCCACCAACUCCAUCUUGGUGAUCAUGGUGGCAUCAUUACCCUCAUGAGAGAUCUUGAGGGUAUCCCAGAUUUGCUUGGUGUUAUCCAAGCUGCUCACUUUGUUGUACUCAUCCCUGCACAAUGAUGCUAGCAAAACAGUGGUUGCUUGUGCAUUCUUAUGGAUUUGCUCAUUAAUGAAAACGGGGGUUGUCAGUACUAUUAAAAUGCAUUCCGUUUUCAACAAUAUUCCAAAUACUUGGAUGGAGAGAAAAUAGGUGACUACGCAUUUUGUGACUCCAAAAUGAGUAGUCUUCUCCAUCAAAGUGUGGAGGUUUCCCAAGUGUAAUUGAAAGUAAAUGGGCAUUAGAAUUGAAAGGCAUGCGAGAGUAAUCAAAGGAAUAGUUUUGAUUAACCGUUCUUUUCUUCGACGAAGAAUCGUCGUCGUUGUCUCUUGGUGAAGAAGAAGAUUCGUCGUUGUCAUAGUAGACGAUCUUCUUGAUGCGCCUCUUCUUCUUCCCGUCCUUCUUCUUGUGACUCGAGCCAGAGUCAGUGGGCUUGUCAUCUCUUGGCUCGUUGAAGAUGGACUCCUUCUCCUUAUCGUUGACCACCAUCCCCUUUCCCUUAGGAUCCAUCUCUUCGGGCGAUUAGUCCCUUACGUGAAGAGAACGGCUCUGAUACCAAUUGAGAGCACCUAGAGGGGGGUGAAUAGGUGAUCCUGUAAAAUUCAACAACUAAUAGCCACAAAACUUGGUUAUAAAGAUGUUAGUGCUCAAAAGAACCAAGUGGCUAUAGAGUGAGCUCUUGCGAAUCACAAUAAUCACAAAGGAAGAUAACACAAGAGACACAGUGGUUUAUCCCGUGAUUCGGCCAAGUAUAACACUUGCCUACCUCCACGUUGUGGCGUCCCAAUGGACGAGGGUUGCACUCAACCCCUUUGAAGUGAUCCAAUGAUCAACUUGAAUACCACGGCUUUUCUUUGCUUAUAUCUUUUCCCGUUUGCAAGGAAUCUCCACACGUUGGAGCCUCUUGCCCUUACAACAAAGAUCACAAUGUAAACACAAGAGUAAGGUUGGGAGCAACACACACAAAUCCGCAGCACAACACACGCACACAAUCCAAGACUUGAGCUCAAAUGAAGCAUAGAGAGUUCACAACAAGAACAGAGCUCAAAUCACUAACACGAUCAAUCAAAUGCGUGGAGACGGAGUGUGGAGACUUAGAAUUGCUUAGUGAAUGCUUUUGUGUCUCCUCCAUGCACCUAGGGGUCCCUUUUAUAGCCCCAAGGUAGCUAGGAGUCGUUGGAGGCAUUCUUGGAAGGCUAAUCUUGCCUUCUGUUGGGUGGCGCACCAGACAGUCCGGUGCGCCACCGGACAGCCACUGUUCAUGUCCGAUGCGCGAUUCCCUUCCUAAUCUGGCGCAGCCGACCGUUGCAGACUUGUGGCAGUUGGCACACCGGACACUGUCCGGUGCACACCGGUCAGUCCGGUGCCCCCUGCCGACCGUUGGAGCGAGCCACGCGUCACCCGCGGAUUUGACGGCCGACAGUUGCGCUGAGGGCCGUUGGCUCACCGGACAGUCCGGUGCACCACCAGACAGUCCGGUGAAUUAUAGCCGUAUGUUGCCGAAGUUUUCCCGAGAGUGGCCAGUUCGCCGGAGCUGGCCUGGCGCACCGAACACUGUCCGGUGCACCACCAGACACUGUCCGGUGCACCACCGGACAGUCCGGUGUGCCAAGCCGAGCUGAGUCUUGGCUGCACACAGACACUCUUUUCCAAUCCUUUCUUUUCCUGUUUCUAGCACUUAGGUAACUUCAUUAGUACACAAUAACAAAUGUACUAAGUCUAGAAACAUACCUUGUAAUACGAUUUUCACUUCUUCACUCUUUGGCACAAAUUUGCACUUAGAGAAAAUGUGUUGGGCACUUAAUCACCAAAACACUUUAGAAAUGGCCCAAGGGCACAUUUCCCUUUCAAAAGGAUCUCAUCCCACAACACCAUCCACCACCCACAAAACCCCAUACCCAUUCAACAAAAAAUUAGGAUUAACAAAUUUACCACUUCAGAUAGCAAAAUCUUAGCGCACAUUCUUAG
rnacentral:lncRNA from 1 species